UCCUGGUCUAGCCCAAACCUGCAAACCUGGGGGAUUAGGGAGAGGGGUGAGCUACUAGAGCCCAGUAAGCAGAAUAUAACAAAUAUCAUAAUUUUAUUUCAUGCUGUCAUGAAAAUGCAACACAUCACAUACAUAUCACAUCAAGGGUGAACUUGUCACCAAUAGCCCUCAAUACUUUCCAAUAGUGCCAGGGAGGCGUAGAAUGGGCUUCCCUAGUCUUUCUCUUACUCAUACUGAUAUACAUAACAUUUCCAAUAGUGCCAGGGAGGCGUAGAAUGGGCUUCCCUGGUCUAUCUCUUACUCUGUGCCAGGGAGGCGUAGAAUGGGCUUCCCUGGUCUUUCCAACCACAAUACAUCAUACUCUGGUGAGGACUAAAGGAUCAUUCAAUAUUCACCCACAUCAACAAUCUAAAGUGCAAUGCAACAUAUUCGUGAUUUCUAAUGCAAACAUCCUAAAAUAAGCUCAUGGCAUUCAUGAU
rnacentral:lncRNA from 1 species